GUAGGAUAGAGGCCUACCAUGGUGGUAACGGGUAACGGGGUGUUAGGGCACGACACCGGAGAGGGAGCCUGAGAAACGGCUACCACAUCCAAGGAUGGCAGCAGGCGCGCAAAUUACCCAAUCCCGACACGGGGAGGUAGUGACAAUAAAUAACAAUACGGGGUUCUUUAGGAUUUCGUAAUUGGAAUGAGUACAAUUUAAAUCUCUUAACGAGGAACAAUUGGAGGGCAAGUCUGGUGCCAGCAGCCGCGGUAAUUCCAGCUCCAAUAGCGUAUAUUAAAGUUGUUGCAGUUAAAAAGCUCGUAGUUGAAUUUCGGGGUCAGUAGGUUGGUCAUGCCACUGGUAUGUACUGGUCUCACUGAUUCCUCCUUCCUGAUGAGCCGUAAUGCCAUUAAUUUGGUGUUGCGAGGAAUCUGGACUGUUACUUUGAAAAAAUUAGAGUGUUUAAAGCAGGCUAACGCUUGAAUACAUUAGCAUGGAAUAAUGAAAUAGGACGUUCGAUCUUAUUUUGUUGGUUUCUAAGAUUGACGUAAUGAUUAAUAGGGAUAGUUGGGGGCAUUAGUAUUCAAUUGUCAGAGGUGAAAUUCUUGGAUUUAUUGAAGACUAACUACUGCGAAAGCAUUUGCCAAGGAUGUUUUCAUUAAUCAAGAACGAAAGUUAGGGGAUCGAAGACGAUCAGAUACCGUCGUAGUCUUAACCAUAAACUAUGCCGACUAGGGAUCGGAUGAUGUUAAUUUUUUAAUGACUCAUUCGGCGCCUUACGGGAA
rnacentral:rRNA from 1 species